rnacentral:misc_RNA from 1 species
CUUUCCAAUACCUUCCCUCCAAGCAAAACAAUGUUAUUAAACUUUCAUUUACCUUACUUUAUUUUACUUUCGUCCCAAAUAUAAAACAAACUAUUACCUUACUUUACUAAAACUUCUUUUACUGGAUCUUCCUUCAUCCCAUCCAAACAAAGUAUAAGAUACCAAAGAUACUAAACCAAAGAGCCAUCAAACAAAAGGAGUUGCUUCACCACAGCAAGGUAGUGGGACCAAAGAACAGCCUCCAUGAAGAAGAAAACCCAGAAGAGCAUAAAGCCAAACACAAGGUGUGAUCAUCUAUCCAGGAAAGAACUCAUUCGAAACAAAAAUUGACAAGUAGAGUUUGCAACCACUAGGAACAAAUUGCAACUGAGAGGAGGAUCGCAAAGCAGUGAGAGCCUAACUUCUAACUCAAAGGAAGCAAAGACACCUAUAUAAAAAUAUACUAUUUAAUACCUAUAUUUGACUUCCGUUAAACUAUUAAGUCCCUCCUCUUUAAAAA